rfam:Gossypium raimondii Chr06_contig_35, whole genome shotgun sequence.
AGUUAAAAAUUUCAUCCAUUUGUAGUCUUAAAAAGUGGUGUGGUUCAUAGAAUAAUUAGAUAGUGACACAUGGCAUGUCACAUGUACAUCAUACUGAUGUAUAUGGAUCAGUUUUUAACAGUAAAAAUGAAUGGAAUUUAUAACA